UUAAGAGAUACACCAGUACCAACUGAGACUUGAAAUUUUUUCAAGUCUCCUCCAAGCCCUCGGGAUUCAUCCAAAAUCUUGUAAAUGCAAAAAAAUUAUGCUACCCUAUCAAAUUCGAUGUUUUGAACUUAAUUAAGUAGUUGAAAUUUCUAUUUGAGGUCGUUUAAAUGAAAACUAGGACCCACACCUACUUACCAUUUUCCUUUACGUUUGGCCCAUAGUCCAAAGUUAGUUUGGAAGUCUCAAAACCCG
rnacentral:lncRNA from 1 species